AAUAAUGGAAAAUCUAAUUGAGAUGCAACUCUUCAUACUACCAAUAGAAAAACAAUUUCAUCUCUCAGAAGAUCGAAGGAGCAAUGAAUGGAACUAUUUCACUAAACUUGACUGACCAAGAGAGAAGAACUGGUUGAUGAACUAGAAAUGAUGGAAACCUUGAGAGAAAAUGUCCCUGUCAUUGAGAGUUAAUGAUUGCCAAAAAAAGAAGCAUGUGGGACUUAGUCAAGCAUAUACCUGAGAAUUUAGGAAAGUAGCUUUCAAAAAGGUAAGAGAAAAGAUAGAGGCAAUGUAACAAUUUGCCUCUCUAAAAAAUAGGGUGGCUCAAGAGAGACAGGCAUUUCUUAAAAAAGAAUAUUCUUAGAUGCAAGUUCUGCCAAUAAUCUGAAUAAGGAAGAAAAAAAGGCAGACAGCUGAAGAAGAGGUCAUAGAGAUAUAUUCAGUCAUAUGUGAUAUUUAAAGAGCCCAUAUAGGAAAGAUGAAAGCAGAAAUAUACAACCAAGAACAUUUAAGUGUGUCACAGACCUAUGAGGAUGAUAGUGUCUAGUCUAUAAAAGCUAAAAAUGAUCUGUCUUGUGACAAAAAUGGUAAUAGUUCAUACCCCCCCCCAAAGAGGAUAUUUUCCCUCCAAGUUGUGUUUAAGUUAAGAAGAUGAAAAAGGAAGAGAGAGGCUGGUUAGUUGGGGACAGAUACUAUCAUGUUAACAAACAGCAGAAAAAAUGCAGUUGCUACUUUGUUAGCAUUUUCUGCUGAAGAGAAUGAGUGAGCUCUAGGCUGGGAAGGUCAGUACAAACAUGGUUUAGGGAAUUGAAGCCCUUAAGGAGCCAGUCAGUAAGAGAACAUCUAGCUGCUCUAAAUUAGUUCAGCUUUGAUGUCACAGAUGAAUACACCCCAAGGUACUGAAAUAACUUGCAGGUGUGAUUUCAGAAUCGUGUCAGCUAGUCUGAGAAAUUGUGAAGAAUGAAAGGGAGGCUAGGAAACUGAAGACAGGCAAGCAUGACUAUUUUCAAAGAAAGGCCAAAAGGGUGAUUUCCUAAACAGUAGUCCAUAAGUUGGACAUUGAUUCCAAGAAAAAAUCUAGAAUGAUGAAUUAAAUACAUAUUUUAUGAGAACUGAGAAAAGGAAUAAGUGAUCACUAGGAGCCAUUGGAACUAGCAACUAGGGAUGAUUAAGAAUUCAUUGAAAACAAAUUAACCCAGAACUAUCUUAUUUCCUUUCCCCCCAUGAUUCUAAAUCAUGUUUUUAGGAAAUCAGAGGAAUGUGGGGAAAAUAAUACAUUUAUUUCUUAUAAAAAUUUAACAGUAUCAUUCAUGAUAUCUUGGUAACCAAGAAGGAAAAAUUGGACUGGUGAUUUGCAAACCAGUUUUAACAUGGAAAGAAAUCUAGAACAGUAUACCAUUUAUUCUCAGCUUCAUUCUGUCAUACAUUUUUUCAUUGAUUAAAAUAAAGAUAUAAUUGUAAAUAUCA
rnacentral:lncRNA from 1 species